rnacentral:rRNA from 1 species
CCUAGGGGAGGCAGCAGUAGGGAAUCUUCUACAAUGGACGAAAGUCUGAUGGAGCAACGCCGCGUGAGCGAAGAAGGUUUUCGGAUCGUAAAGCUCUGUUGCCGGAGAAGAAUGAGUAUGAGAGGAAAUGCUUGUACUGUGACGGUAUCCGGCCAGAAAGCCACGGCUAACUACGUGCCAGCAGCCGCGGUAAUAGUAUU